CAGCAGCCACGGGAAUACGUAGGGUGCGAGCGUUAAUCGGAAUUACUGGGCGUAAAGCGGGCGCAGACGGUUACUUAAGCAGGAUGUGAAAUCCCCGGGCUCAACCUGGGAACUGCGUUCUGAACUGGGUGACUAGAGUGUGUCAGAGGGAGGUAGAAUUCCACGUGUAGCAGUGAAAUGCGUAGAGAUGUGGAGGAAUACCGAUGGCGAAGGCAGCCUCCUGGGAUAACACUGACGUUCAUGCUCGAAAGCGUGGGUAGCAAACAGGAUUAGAUACCCCCGUAGUCCCUGUCUCUUAUAA
rnacentral:rRNA from 1 species